rnacentral:tRNA from 1 species
GGAGAGAUGGCAGAGUGGUCGAAUGCGGUGGUCUUGAAAACCAUUGUACUGCAAGGUACCGGGGGUUCGAAUCCCUCUCUCUCCGCAA